CACUCCUACGGGAGGCAGCAGUGGGGAAUUUUGGACAAUGGGCGAAAGCCUGAUCCAGCAAUGCCGCGUGCAGGAUGAAGGCCUUCGGGUUGUAAACUGCUUUUGUACGGAACGAAAAAGCUCCUUCUAAUACAGGGGGCCCAUGACGGUACCGUAAGAAUAAGCACCGGCUAACUACGUGCCAGCAGCCGCGGUAAUACGUAGGGUGCGAGCGUUAAUCGGAAUUACUGGGCGUAAAGCGUGCGCAGGCGGUUAUGUAAGACAGAUGUGAAAUCCCCGGGCUCAACCUGGGAACUGCAUUUGUGACUGCAUGGCUAGAGUACGGUAGAGGGGGAUGGAAUUCCGCGUGUAGCAGUGAAAUGCGUAGAUAUGCGGAGGAACACCGAUGGCGAAGGCAAUCCCCUGGACCUGUACUGACGCUCAUGCACGAAAGCGUGGGGAGCAAACAGGAUUAGAUACCCGAGUAGUCCCAUGAU
rnacentral:rRNA from 1 species